rnacentral:rRNA from 1 species
AUGCCACCUUCCGUGCAUGACACGGAAGGCCUGCCGUUCAUGAAGCAUGGUUGUGUCUUCAGUGCGCACCACCGAAUGAACGACAUGCUGGGACACGCUAUCCCUGAUUUAUGUCGCUUCAGCUUGGAUGUGUCUCCAUCGUGUGGAACCGGACUAGAAAGCUGCGACAAUGAUUCCCGUUGCCCACCGCUAUGGAUCGUGCCAUCCAUGAAGAACACCUGGGACUGGAACCUGGAGGAGGACAUUUACCGAUGCAAGUCGAAGAAGGAUUGGCCCGUGCUGCCGGCUGGCGUCAAGUUCGAUCCCACGGAUCAGGAGCUGAUCGAGCACCUUGAGGCCAAAGUGAGUGCUGAUAGCGCGAGAUUUCAGUCUCUCAUUGAUUUGUUCGUACCAACCAUCGACAGCGAGCACGGCAUAUGUUACACCCAACCUGAGAAACUUCCAGAUGUUAUGAAAAUGCCAACUAGGGCAUUAAAAAGGGGCGCGUGGACGCGGUGCAAGAUACAGUCAGAGUGCGGCAUGCAUGCGAUGUGGCACAAGACCGGCAAUACCUUGCCGGUGAUGGUCAACAGUCGGCAGACGAGCAGCAAAAAAGGUUCUGGUGCUGCACACCAACAAGAACUUCGACUAGCAGAGGACCAACUUGGGAUGCACCAGUACCACCUCGGGGACCUGGAGCAAGAGAAGGAGCGGGAGCUAGUCCUCUGCAAGAUUUUCUACCAGACGAACACUAGGGCUAGGAGUAAAAAGAUUAUAAGUUAG